rnacentral:rRNA from 1 species
GACGAACGCUGGCGGCGUGCUUAACACAUGCGAGUCGAACGGAAAGGCCCUGCUUUUGUGGGGUGCUCGAGUGGCGAACGGGUGAGUAACACGUGAGUAACCUGCCCUUGACUUUGGGAUAACUUCAGGAAACUGGGGCUAAUACCGGAUAGGAGCUCCUGCUGCAUGGUGGGGGUUGGAAAGUUUCGGCGGUUGGGGAUGGACUCGCGGCUUAUCAGCUUGUUGGUGGGGUAGUGGCUUACCAAGGCUUUGGCGGGUAGCCGGCCUGAGAGGGUGACCGGCCACAUUGGGACUGAGAUACGGCCCAGACUCCUACGGGAGGCAGCAGUGUGGAAUAUUGCACGAUGGGCGGAAGCCUGAUGCAGCAACGCCGCGUGCGGGAUGACGGCCUUCGGGUUGUAAACCGCUUUCGCCUGUGACGAAGCGUGAGUGACGGUAAUGGGUAAAGAAGCACCGGCUAACUACGUG